rnacentral:tRNA from 1 species
AGCUAAAUAAGCUUUAGAUAAGCAUUUACUUUGAAAGUAAAAGAUAGUAGUUUAAUUCUACUAUUAGCUU